UGAACGCUGGCGGCAGGCCUCCCACAUGCAAGUCGAACGGUAACAGGCAGCAGCUUGCUGCUUCGCUGACGAGUGGCGGACGGGUGAGUAAUGUCUGGGAAACUGCCUGAUGGAGGGGGAUAACUACUGGAAACGGUAGCUAAUACCGCAUAACGUCGCAAGACCAAAGAGGGGGACCUUAGGGCCUCUUGCCAUCGGAUGUGCCCAGAUGGGAUUAGCUAGUAGGUGGGGUAACGGCUCACCUAGGCGACGAUCCCUAGCUGGUCUGAGAGGAUGACCAGCCACACUGGAACUGAGACACGGUCCAGACUCCUACGGGAGGCAGCAGUGGGGAAUAUUGCACAAUGGGCGCAAGCCUGAUGCAGCCAUGCCGCGUGUAUGAAGAAGGCCUUCGGGUUGUAAAGUACUUUCAGCGGGGAGGAAGGGAGUAAAGUUAAUACCUUUGCUCAUUGACGUUACCCGCAGAAGAAGCACCGGCUAACUCCGUG
rnacentral:rRNA from 1 species